CCUACGGGUGGCAGCAGUGAGGAAUAUUGGUCAAUGGACGCAAGUCUGAACCAGCCAUGCCGCGUGCAGGAAGACGGCUCUAUGAGUUGUAAACUGCUUUUGUACGAGGGUAAACUCAGAUACGCGUAUCUGUCUGAAAGUAUCGUACGAAUAAGGAUCGGCUAACUCCGUGCCAGCAGCCGCGGUAAUACGGAGGAUUCAAGCGUUAUCCGGAUUUAUUGGGUUUAAAGGGUGCGUAGGCGGUCGGCUAAGUUAGAGGUGAAAUCCCGAGGCUCAACUUCGGAAUUGCCUUUGAUACUGUUAGGCUAGAGAGUAGUUGAGGUAGGCGGAAUGGAUGGUGUAGCGGUGAAAUGCUUAGAGAUCAUACAGAACACCGAUUGCGAAGGCAGCUUACCAAGCUACUUCUGACGUUGAGGCACGAAAGCGUGGGGAGCAAACAGGAUUAGAUACCCUAGUAGUC
rnacentral:rRNA from 1 species